CCUGAGCCCUGAGUCUUCAUUUAUUUUGGAGAAACAAGGACAGGAGGGACUGGUGAGCCUUUGCCCCAGCUGGGCCCCGGCCAGUGACUCAGGCAACACCAGCAUUAGCAGCAGGGACUUGUUCCCGUCUGUGUGCCCUUCCCAGUCAAGCUAAGACAAGAUUUUCUCCCUGUUCCUCCUCCCCCACCACCCCCCAAACUCCCUCGUCGCCACACCCGAUGACAGACAGACAGAAGCAACAAGGUGCUCUUUGUAAGUGCAAGAGGGUGCCUACCUGCUGGCCUUCUGAUCACUGCUUGCUGCUCCCAGGGCACAUGACUCUGGAGGGCUCUACUCUUCUGGGAAGCCUUCGCUGACUGGCUUGUAUGGACAAUGUUGUGAGUGGGAAGUGACCUGCAUUGGGAGUCAGGGGAACCAGCUUCUAGCCCUGGCUCUGCUCCUCUUGCUCUGUCUAGGGAGGGAGCUUUGCUUCUCUGUCUCUUCCUCUACAAAAAGAAGAUGGUGGGACCAGAUGCUAGUAGAAGAGCAGAGAAUUAGAAGUCAGGAGACAGAUCUGAAUUUUAGUCCUGGCUAUGCUAUCAACCAGGUCUGUGACCUUGGAUAAGUCACUUUCCCAAAUUCUUCAUGCAGAAAAGGAGGGACA
rnacentral:lncRNA from 1 species